rfam:Oryza glumipatula chromosome 11, whole genome shotgun sequence.
AAAUAUCGUAGUUUUACACUUUUAUGUCUAAUGUUUGACUGUCCGUUUUAUUUGAAAUUUUUUUAUGAUUAAUAUUUUAUUGUUAUUAGAUGAUAAAACAUGAAUAGUAUUUUAUGUGUGACUAUUUUUCUUUUAAUUUUUUUUAUAAAUUUUUCAAAUAAGACGGAUAAUCAAACAUUAGAUACGGAAGUUCACAACUGCACUUAAA